CCUCAUCACUGUCUGUUUUUUUCUUCUUUUUAUUCCAAACCAAGACGAGGACGGUGAAAUCGCUAAUCUCGUGGCAUCAAUCGAGACUAUAAAAAUCAAUGCCGUCUACGACGACACCUCACAAACCUGUUGGGGUUACCACAGCAGGUUCAUCCCAGCCUGGAGACACUUCCGUACACGACACGCCGGACAGUUUUUCCUUCGGAUCUUGUCAAUGAUGCAGUCGUUUCUCCCAGCGCACAGGGUUUUAAGCUCAAGC